AUAGCAUCAUUUUACACUGAAAUCUAACUCCUACUAUAAUUUAUUAAUAAUCUUAAAGCUUCAACUGAUCCCAUUCAAUAAAAGGGGUUUCUUUUUUUUUUUUAAAUCCCAUUUUGCAGUUGUAGAAUGAUCUUCAAGUCUAUCCAUUUCAAGUGAAAUGUGUUCAAGUUCUUACGCCUUCACACCCACUCCCUCAUGUUUUGGAUUUUGACUUUCAUGCUGGUGGUACCUUCAUCUGUAAUGGCACCUAGAAAGAGGAGCUAAGCAAACAAUUGCUGUGCCUUUCCCAGCUCAAAUGGUACAUGCUGUGGGUGGAAAUGCUAACCUGAAGGACACCUGCACAUCACAGAGAUCCAACUACCCUCCCUUGUGUGAAGUCCUAAAUGGAGGGAAUAGGCCAGAAAAGAAUAAAAGCAGCUCACGAUGUGGAAACUU
rnacentral:lncRNA from 1 species